rnacentral:rRNA from 1 species
CCUACGGGAGGCAGCAGUAAGGAAUAUUGGUCAAUGGAGGCAACUCUGAACCAGCCAUGCCGCGUGCAGGAUGACGGCCCUAUGGGUUGUAAACUGCUUUUAUACAAGAGAAAACCCUGGUACGUGUACCAGGUUGAUAGUAUUGUAAGAAUAAGCAUCGGCUAACUUCGUGCCAGCAGCCGCGGUAAGACGAAGGAUGCAAGCGUUAUCCGGAUUCAUUGGGUUUAAAGGGUGCGUAGGCGGACUGAUAAGUCAGUGGUGAAAUCUCUUUGCUUAACAAAGAAACUGCCAUUGAUACUGUCGGUCUAGAGUAUAGAUGACGUUGGCGGAAUAUGACAUGUAGUGGUGAAAUACUUAGAUAUGUCAUAGAACACCGAUUGCGAAGGCAGCUAACGAAACUAUAACUGACGCUGAGGCACGAAAGUGCGGGGAUCAAACAGGAUUAGAUACCCUGGUAGUCCGCACCGUAAACGAUGAUUACUCGUUGUUGGCGAUAUGACAGUCAGCGACCAAGCGAAAGCGANAAGUAAUCCACCGUUGGGAGGUACGCCGGCGACGGAGACGACGAANAGAGUUAGACGGCGNGAGACGNGCCGACGGACGACGACGAGGGAGGUAGG